UUUCGUAAAACGCGCCAUGAGAAAUUCAGUGUUUUACAGACCUUUUGGACCUAAUACAAACUUUAAACAACUCACUAACGCAUUAUAUCCGAUUAUCCAAUACUUAAGCCAUACUUAAACUCGUAAUAGUCUAUUAGAUCAAACUAGCCCUUUUUUUUUUAUCAAAAUACAAAGUGUUUCGUAUAAAGAUGUUCUUCCUAACACGGCACAUUUUAUAUAUAUACCUCUCCAAGUUGAUUCAAAACUAUGUAAACUCACACACGUGCAUGCUUUUACUUAGGAUAAAUAUCUCGAUUCUUUUAGCCAAAAUGCUUUUUCUCAAAGGUCUUUCUCUUGAAUAAAUUUCGGGACGAAAUUUUUUUAAAGGAGGGGAGACUGUAACGCCCUGCUUUUUCGUAACUUUCCUUAAUUAGAAAUCUUGUCGUGCGUUUCUAUUGUAAUCGUAUCGUAUUUCGAUUCGUUGUAAGUCCGAAACUUGAUUGUAAUGCAGUCGACCUUUUGUGGGAAAUAUACAUCGUUUACACAUGCUUAUACUUGGAUACGCAUACUCGUUUAUUACUUGAUUCGUGAUUCUCUUAAACGUGUACUUAACUCGUAACCAACUCGUGAAUUCGUGACACUUAAACGUUCCAUACAUAUAAAACAUUUAAUUAAUCAAAACGAGACUUAUACUUAAUUAGCACUUCAUUCUAUGUUUUAACACAUUUAUUAAACACCUAUGUUACUAAUUAGAACAUUCUAGGUCUUGUAGGUGUUGUUACACAUUAAACUGUAUAUAAUACUUUAAUUAUGCACCUAAAACCUACUUAUAUAUUAAAAAAAAAAGGAUAGAAAAAAAUAUAUAUAUAUGGGCUGUUAACAGCCCCUUGCGGCUGGACUCACAACCAAACACCAAAAUCUUUUUUUUGAUUAAGUGUUAAAAACCCCAAUACUUGCAUGUUGACAUUCUUUAAUUUCACGUUGAUUAAGCAAUGCACAUUAUAAACCCAUGAUAUAAACUACAAUUGUGUGUCUUAUAAAGUUAAAAGUAUAUAUAUAUAAAUCAUAAUAUAUGUAAUCAGCCUACCAACUUGCGGCCGCAAGUGGUAGGGCUGAAUUGUUUGUUUGUUGUUUCAAAUAAGUAAUCACCAUCAUGCACAUUAAUUCAUCAUCGAUAUUUUUAAUAUGCAUACCAUACUUUGCCAACAUUUAAUGUAAUGUUCAACAACAAAAGAAAUAGUAGAAUCUAGGCAGUUUACAGCCAUGAUCGGAUAGCCUCAUGGCUUGUCUAAUUGUUUCUUUUUAUUCAUUUCAACAACCAACAACUUAACAUUAAUGCCAACUACUAACCAAACCUAAUUACAAAAGUUAUCCAAACCCUAAUCCCCAUUUAUUUUGAUCGGCCGCCCCUCAUGAUCUUUCCCUCCCAAGUACACCCUUACAUCUCUGCAACAUAUUCAAAACCCUUAUCCACCCUCCAUGUUUUACACAACAACCACAUAAGAUCAUCCUUGACACCCUCAUACACUCUUCCUCGUUUUCACUUCACACCACAGCCAUGUACCCGCCGGAGAAACGGGCUUCACGGUUGCCGUAACCGCAGUCGGAACAAGUAGCUCUCAUCGAAAUCGCUUGCUGGAAUCGGUGUUUUUACGUCGAACCCGAAUCUUCAUUCGUUUCGGUAUAUACUUCUUAUCCAUUUUGUUUUGAUCUUCUGUCAACCUAGCGGCCUUUGUUCCUUUCAUUUGUUAAACCUUCUGUGACAACCACUUUGGUAGAUAAAAAUGUGUAACAGACAAAGAAAAGUCGUCGGAGUUUUACGACGGGGAUCGCGCCGCACGUAUUCGGUAUACCUUACACCUUAAACCCAUUCCGCGACCUCGUAAAGAAAGAAAGAAAGAAACACUCUCUCUCUUUAACUACACUUUCGCCGGUGAUCGGAGUUUCGCCGGAGCCGUACGGUGCUUGCCGGGAAAUAUCGAACACUGCCGGAGUCUUAUAUUCCCACGCGCUUCGAAAGGAUAAACACUUACGUUCAUUCUCUUGGAAUUCUCCAUCCUUACUCGUGCGUUAUUUCAAGGAAUUCUUAUACGCGAUCAAUGUUGAUGAUGAUGAAAUGAAAACGGAUAGCAAAGAUGCCUAGAUACUCAC